rnacentral:rRNA from 1 species
GAUGAACGCUGGCGGCGUGCCUAAUACAUGCAAGUCGAGCGAACAGACGAGGAGCUUGCUCCUCUGACGUUAGCGGCGGACGGGUGAGUAACACGUGGAUAACCUACCUAUAAGACUGGGAUAACUUCGGGAAACCGGAGCUAAUACCGGAUAAUAUAUUGAACCGCAUGGUUCAAUAGUGAAAGACGGUUUUGCGGUCGCUUAUAGAUGGAUCCGCGCCGCAUUAGCUAGUUGGUAAGGUAACGGCUUACCAAGGCGACGAUGCGUAGCCGACCUGAGCGGGUGGUCGGCCACACUGGAACUGAGACACGGUCCAGACUCCGACGGGAGGCCGCAGUAGGGAAUCCUCCGCAAUGGGCGAAAGCCUGACGGAGCAACGCCGCGUGAGUGAUGAAGGUCUUCGGAUCGUAAAACUCUGUUAUUAGGGAAGAACAAAUGUGUAAGUAACUAUGCACGUCUUGACGGUACCUAAUCAGAAAGCCACGGCUAACUACGUG